AUGCCCAGAUAAGUUUGAAUUUCAAAUAAACCAGGAAUACGUCUUUUUAGUAUACUGGUAAGUAUGUUCCAUGCAAUAUUUGGGACAUACUUAUACUAGAAAAUUGUUUGUCAUUUAUCUGAAAUUCAAAUUUA
rnacentral:miRNA from 1 species